UGCCAAGUAUGCAACUCUACAGCAGAUAGUGGAGGCAGAGAAGGAGACGCAUGGCACAGAGUGGGCCAAAAUGGGAGCCACCUUGGCCCUAAUGUGGCUGAAGAGGUGAGCUCAGAACCAUCACAUCUGAAUGUAUUCGAGAGGUCUCUGUUUCAUCCAGAUCCUGCUGCAGAGCUUGGCAGACGGAGAGAAAGACGAGAACAACCCUAACCUCAUCCGUGUUAACAUCACCAAAGCCUACGACCAGGCCCUGAAGAAAUACCAAGGCUGUCUCGUGCAGAAGAUCUUUAAGGUAAGACCAUGUGACCUAAAGUCAUGUGGUAGCAUAGUCUUGACGUCCUUUGACCCUUGACCGGGUUUUCUACUUAACCCUGGUUCUCAAGCACCUCUGAGUGUAUUGCUUUCAUAUUGAACUUCAUUCACCCAAAGCAAAACAUUUAUGAAUAUAAUAACUGAAAACUACAUAAUUGAAUUUGAAUGUGUAGGAACUGCUCAGUGAAGGUGUACUUGUCACGACUUCUGCCGAAGUCGUUGCCUCUCCUUGUUCGGGCGGUGCUCGGCGUUCGCCGUCACCGGUCUUCUAGCCAUCAUUGAUCCUUUUUUCAUUUUCCAUUGGUUUUGUCUUGUCUUCCCACACACCUGUUUUCAAUCCCAUUCAUUACUUGUUGUGUAUUUAACCCUCUGUUUCCCCUCAUGUCUUUGUCAAAUAUUGUUUUAUUGUCAGUGUAGUGUGAUUGUUGUAUAGGUGCGCGUCGGGUCCUCGUACCCAUGUUUCUUUAUGUACAUUUAGUGUUAUGGAGCAUACUCCGUGAACUUUAUUAAAAGACUCCAUUUUA